GACGAACGCUGGCGGCGUGCUUAACACAUGCAAGUCGAACGGAAAGGCCCUGCUUUUGUGGGGUGCUCGAGUGGCGAACGGGUGUGUAACACGUGAGUAACCUGCCCUUUACUUUGGGAUAACUUCAUGAAACUGGGGCUAAUACCGGAUAGGAGCUCCUGCUGCAUGGUGGUGGUUGGAAAGUUUCGGCGGUUGGGGAUGGACGCGCGGCUUAUCAGCUUGUUGGUGGGGUAGUGGCUCACCACGGCUUUGACGGGUAGCCGGCCUGAGAGGGUGACCGGCCACAUUGGGACUGAGAUACGGCCCAGAGGGAUACGGGAGGCAGCGGCGGAGAACAUUGCACACUGGGCCGCAGCCUGAUGCAGCAACUCCGGGUGCGGAAUGACGGCUUUCGGGGUGGAAAGCGCUUUAGCCUGAGACGAAGCGUGAGUGACGGUAAUGGGUAAAGAAGCACCGGCUAACUACGUG
rnacentral:rRNA from 1 species